ACGUUGAAACACCGGUUCUCGUACGAUCACCAAAGUUCAGCAACGUCGUGCCUGGUCAGUAUCUAGAUGGGUGAUCGUUUGGGAAUACCAGGCGCUGUAA
rnacentral:rRNA from 1 species